GAGGUCCCUUCCAGUCCUAUGGUUCUAUGCUACCAGUGCUUGUGUGUGGUGUGUUCCUUGUUGUCUUUUCUGUGCCUCUGUCUCUGUGGUGAAUAUCUCUCACUCACACAGCUCCACCAAUCAAUGCCCAAGCCCCUGUGUGUGUUAUAUCAGCCCCUGUGUGUCUAAAAUUACCAAGUACAUUUUUCACUUGUGUCUUCAUAAAACAGGAUCUGAAUGCAAGUUUUCAGAGAUGAAAUCAGGACCCACUGUUUUGUAACAGUGGCUCUGACAUUUUACCCCCUCUAUGUGGAGCACAGGCCAAGCUCAUGUUAAUAUCUAGCAAGAAAUUGUUCUCCUGUCUACGGAUCAAUGGGUCUUCAUAGGUUUGAUGAUGGGAACUUGUUUCCUGAGUGUGUUGGCUGGCUUCAUGGCUUUCCUCCUUGACUUCAUAGAGAUAAAGAAGCUAGGAGUGGCACGUCUAAUCAUUGCAACCGUCCUACAUAUUUUGUCAGCCAUUCUUUGUGCAUUAGUUCUGGGGUUUUGUACUUGGAUCUUUACAAUCAUCCAGAAACCUAGUAUCAAAAAUUUGUUAAAUAAGCACCACUAUGCAACGUCACUGGGAGAAAGUUUCUACUUAACCAUCGCAGCCUUUAUUUUAGAAAGCCUCACGUCCAUAUUUAGCAUCUGGUCAACGACGGUCUAUGGAAAAGAUUUACAUCCUUCUGAGAUUGUUGGGGAGAUCAAAAUCAAAGAAAGCAACAGUUUUUGUCCAGGUGCUGUGCAGCCAGUGUAGCUCUCUUGAAGUCAUUGAACAACACCAAUUUAUAGCACCUGAGGAACUUGCCCAGUGUUUCUAGAAUUCUGUUGCAAUGCUGUUAGCAACAUACGUAACUUUGUCAUUGGAUAAGCUGCAUACUUAAAUAUAUAUGGUCAUUUCCAUAAACUCUUUUCAAAAUAUAGAGAAGAAGCCAGUGACAUGGACAAAGUUUUCAAUGUGUUACUGUUUAGAAACACCUUGGACAUUUUGUACCUUCAGGGAUUUGUUGUUUGGAAAGAAAAAUUUCCAUAGAUCUGACCUCUAUGGUGCUACUUUUUAAUAAUGCUGACUCUGUUGUCUCCCUCUAGGUUUAUUUGGUACAGUGUUAUGGGGCUUAAAAGUGUGUUUGUACAGUAAAAUGGUAUGUAUUCUUUGAGUCAGGGUGAUGAAUAUAUGAGAUGAAUCUUAUUAUUCAAUGUACAAACAUGAGAUUCCCUUGCAUAAACCUAUUAAA